AGUGAACGCUGGCGGUAGGCCUAACACAUGCAAGUCGAACGGCAGCACAGUAAGGGCUUGCUCUUACGGGUGGCGAGUGGCGGACGGGUGAGGAAUACAUCGGGAUCUACUUUUUCGUGGGGGAUAACGUAGGGAAACUUACGCUAAUACCGCAUACGACCUACGGGUGAAAGCAGGGGAUCUUCGGACCUUGCGCGAUUGAAUGAGCCGAUGUCGGAUUAGCUAGUUGGCGGGGUAAAGGCCCACCAAGGCGACGAUCCGUAGCUGGUCUGAGAGGAUGAUCAGCCACACUGGAACUGAGACACGGUCCAGACUCCUACGGGAGGCAGCAGUGGGGAAUAUUGGACAAUGGGCGCAAGCCUGAUCCAGCCAUACCGCGUGGGUGAAGAAGGCCUUCGGGUUGUAAAGCCCUUUUGUUGGGAAAGAAAAGCAGCAGGUUAAUACCCCGCUGUUCUGACGGUACCCAAAGAAUAAGCACCGGCUAACUUCGUG
rnacentral:rRNA from 1 species